UGCUUAUCGAGAAAGACGGAGGGUAGGGCCCUAUGAUGUCUUAGCAACCUGAUGUGACAAGGUGCUAAUUCCCGUUCCGGAAAAGCCGGAUAAAGAUGAGCC
rfam:Cyclobacterium lianum strain CGMCC 1.6102 genome assembly, contig: Ga0070154_107